GGGAAUAUGUGCUUUCACAGCUAUCUGGUAUCUCCCAAGUCUCGUAGGAAGCACGUUUCCAGGGCUCAGCUAUCUGUCCUCAUGAGAACUUUGGCUGGUGGGCUCCCUGCAUUCUGGAGCAGAGAAAACCUCCUACUGUCGUCUCCGUCACAAGUCACAACCUUCACAGGCCUUAGUUUCACAUUUCCGGACAGAGAGACUCCUGGAUGCUGGACGUAUUGGUGGUUGAUGGCUCUCAGCUGAUGCUCUGGGAGAAAUUGUCCUCACCAGAAGAGAAUGGCCUCAACCAAAGGCUGACACCUCCCCAGAAGCAGCUCAUAUUUAAGCUUGGUCAAUAUGUGUGUGUUGGGGAAUAAAGAUUCUUUACCCCAUAAAUGGCAACUCUGAUGUCCAUUCCAGCUCUGGAGGGAAAGAUGGUGUCUUUUUCUGUGACUAUAUCACAAUUCAACUUGUUUGCAGUCAUUUCUAUGUCCUUUAUUCCCAAAUAAGUAUUGCUGCCUACAGUGCUCUCUCAAACAUCUCGUGCAUGCAAAUCUAAAACUCAGACUGAGUUUCCAGGGAAUGUUAUAUAGAAUGAGAAUCCAUGACUAGUUUGUUAGACUUACCCACAUAUUUUCUAUUUUAUUUGCUAAUAUUUCCUUUUUGUACCUGGGAUCAACUUCCUUAGAAUUCUUCUCGCCAGAGUCUGCUGAGUGAAAGUCUUAAUUUUGCUUUGCUUUGCAAGAUAAUUUUAGCAAGUCUGUAAUUCUAGGUUAGUGAUUAUUUUCUUUCAGUUCAUUGAAGACACUAUUCUAUUAUUUUCUGAUUUCCACUUUUGCUAUUGCAAACUAAGCUGUCAAAUGAAUUGUCACUCCUUGGAAGUCUGUCUUUGAUUGCUGGUCAAAUCUUUUUGCUUUCAUGUUUUAUAAAUUCAUCAUAGUGUGUCUUAGGGAAGAUUAGUUUUUAUUUUCUUGAUUUGAGAGUCACUGAGCUUUCUGAAUUUGUAGAUUGGUGUCUUUCAUCAGUUUAAAAAUCUUCAAACCAUUACCUCUUUUAAAUAUUCUGUACUUUGUUGC